AGUGAACGCUGGCGGCGUGCUUAAACACAAUGCAAAGUCGAACGAGAACGGACUUAAGCUUUGCUUAAGUUGUCAGCUAAGUGGCGCACGGGUGAGUAAUGUAUAGUUAACCUGCCCUCUAGAGAGGAAUAACAGUUGGAAACGACUGCUAAUGCCUUAUAUGCCUUUAAGACAGAAGUCUGCAAGGGAAAUGCUUUAGUGCUAGAGGAUGGGACUGUAUGGUAUCAGUUAGUUGGUGGGUAAUGGCUUACCAAGACAAUGACGCCUAACUGGUUUGAGAGGAUGAUCAGUCACACU
rnacentral:rRNA from 1 species